rnacentral:rRNA from 1 species
UACGUAGGGGGCUAGCGUUGUCCGGAAUCAUUGGGCGUAAAGAGCGCGUAGGCGGCUAGAUAAGUCCGGUGUGAAAGUCACAGGCUCAACCUGUGAAUGCCGCUGGAAACUGUCUGGCUAGAGUCCGGAAGGGGCGAGUGGAAUUCCUGGUGUAGCGGUGAAAUGCGCAGAUAUCAGGAGGAACACCGAUGGCGAAGGCGGGUCUCUGGGCCGAUACUGACGCUGAGGAGCGAAAGCGUGGGGAGCGAACAGG